AGGAUGAACGCUGGCGGCGUGCCUAACACAUGCAAGUCGAACGGUAACAGGUCUAGUUUACUAGAUGCUGACGAGUGGCGGACGGCUGAGUAACGCGUGGGAACGUGCCCCAAAGUGAGGAAUAAGCACCGGAAACGGUGUCUAAUGCCGCAUAUGAUCUUCGGAUUAAAGAAUUUAUUCGCUUUGGGAGCGGCCCGCGUUAGAUUAGGUAGUUGGUGAGGUAAAGGCUCACCAAGCCCACGAUCUAUAGCUGGUCUGAGAGGAUGACCAGCCAGACUGGAACUGAGACACGGUCCAGACUCCUACGGGAGGCAGCAGUGAGGAAUCUUCACAAUGGGCAAAGCCUGAUGGAGCAACGCCGCGUGCAGGAUGAAGGCCUUCGGGUACUAAACUGCUUUUAUAAGUGAAGAAUAUGACGGUAACUUAUAGAAUAAGGAUCGGACUAACGUACGUGACCAGCCAGCCGC
rnacentral:rRNA from 1 species